rnacentral:rRNA from 1 species
GCGGCAGGCUUAACACAUGCAAGUCGAGGGGUAACAUAAUUUGCUUGCAAAUUGAUGACGACCGGCGCACGGGUGAGUAACGCGUAUACAAUCUACCUUAUACUGGGGUAUAGCCUUUAGAAAUGAAGAUUAACACCCCAUAGUCUAUAAAUAUGGCCUCAUAUUAAUAGUAAAGGAUACGGUAUAAGAUGAGUAUGCGUCCUAUUAGAUAGUUGGUAAGGUAACGGCUUACCAAGUCGACGAUAGGUAGGGGCCCUGAGAGGGGGAUCCCCCACACUGGUACUGAGACACGGACCAGACUCCUACGGGAGGCAGCAGUGAGGAAUAUUGGACAAUGGAGGCAACUCUGAUCCAGCCAUGCCGCGUGCAGGAAGACUGCCCUAUGGGUUGUAAACUGCUUUUAUAUAGGAAGAAACGUUUCCACGAGUUGGGAAUUUGACGGUACUAUAAGAAUAAGGACCGGCUAACUCCGUGCCAGCAGCCGCGGUAAUACGGAGGGUCCGAGCGUUAUCCGGAAUCAUUGGGUUUAAAGGGUCCGUAGGCGGGCUUCUAAGUCAGUGGUGAAAUCUUACAGCUCAACUGUAAAAUUGCCAUUGAUACUGGAGGUCUUGAAUUAGUGUGAAGUGAUUAGAAUGUGUAGUGUAGCGGUGAAAUGCAUAGAUAUUACACAGAAUACCAAUUGCGAAGGCAGAUCACUAACACUAUAUUGACGCUGAGGGACGAAAGCGUGGGGAGCGAACAGGAUUAGAUACCCUGGUAGUCCACGCCGUAAACGAUGGAUACUAGCUGUUCGUGGCGCA